rnacentral:rRNA from 1 species
AAUGAUUUAUAACUGGGAGUUUUUGUUUUUGCUUUAUUAGGUGAAUUUUAUUUUUAAGUGAAGAAGCUUAAAUUUGGUAAAAAGACGAGAAGACCCUAUGAAGCUUUAUAAUAUUGAUUGUUUGUGGAAUGUGGUGCAGAUUAUUAUUAUUGUUGGGUUGGGGCGAUUUUGCAUUAGCUGUUUAUUAUUUGGGUUUUAUUGGAAAUUUAUGAUCUGGAUUUUGUAUUCAAUUUUUAGAAUAAGUUACUCUAGGGAUAACAGCAUAAUUCAUUUGGAUAGUACAUAUUGAUAUA